rnacentral:rRNA from 1 species
AGAAAGAGGAUAGUGUUUAUUAGAUACAGAACCAAUACACCAUCUGUUUAUCAGGUGGUGUAAAAAAGGGAUUCAUAGUAACCGAACGGAUCGCAUUAUGGUCAUUUUAUAUGGCUGGCGAUAGAUCAUUCAAGUUUCUGACCUAUCAGCUUUCGACGGUAGUGUAUUGGACUACCGUGGCAGUGACGGGUAACGGGGAAUUAGGGUUCGAUUCCGGAGAGGGAGCCUGAGAAACGGCUACCACAUCUAAGGAAGGCAGCAGGCGCGCAAAUUACCCAAUCCUGACUCAGGGAGGUAGUGACAAGAAAUAACAACACUGGAAAUUUUAUUUCUAGUGAUUGGAAUGAUGGGAAUUUAAACCCCUUUCAGAGUAACAAUUGGAGGGCAAGUCUGGUGCCAGCAGCCGCGGUAAUUCCAGCUCCAAUAGCGUAUAUUAAAGUUGUUGCAGUUAAAAAGCUCGUAGUUGGAUGUCUGCUGGAAGCAAUCAGUCCGCCCUAUUUGUAGGGUGUGCACUUGAUGAAUUCUGGCAUCUAUGUCCCAAUAAUGUGGUGGUGUAUACCCUGUGUAUUACCCAUCUAUAUUGGGAUAAUACCGUUACUUUGAGAAAAUUAGAGUGUUUGAAGCAGGCUAAUUGCCUUGAAUACUGCAGCAUGGAAUAACAAUAUAGGAUUUCGGUUCUAUUUUGUUGGUUUCUAGGACUGAAAUAAUGAUUAAUAGGGACAGUUGGGGGCAUUCGUAUUUAACUGUCAG